GUCCACACCGUAAACGAUGGAUACUAGGUGUCCGGGACUUCGGUCCUGGGUGCCCAAGGGAAACCGAUAAGUAUCCCACCUGGGGAGUACGUCCGCAAGGAUGAAACUCAAAGGAAUUGACGGGGCCCGCACAAGCGGUGGAGCAUGUGGUUUAAUUCGAUGAUACGCGAGGAACCUUACCUGGGCUAGAAUGCCCUCGACCGGCCGUGAAAGCGGUCUUCCCUUCGGGGCGAGGUGCAAGGUGCUGCAUGGUUGUCGU
rnacentral:rRNA from 1 species